GUGCUUGGUUCACCAGCACAUUUACUAAAAUUGAAACAAUACAGAAAAGAUGAGCAUGUCCUGUGUAAGGGUAUGGAAAUUCACGAAGUGUUCCCUAUUUUA